CCUGAGAAACCCAAAAGAUCGAAUGGGGAGAUUCAUCGUCAGCUCAUUUUGUAUAUGUAUAAGUUACGAUGCGGGUUACUACUUGUAGUAUUGCCUGCACGUUCUUGUAUAUUUAGUUGCAAGAUGUUGUCGGCGUGCACUUCUUCCCUAGUAGGACGUCGCGACCCGUUGGGUGUCGGUCUACGGCCCAAGUGAUAGCCUUUAAUGUAAUUUAAAAAUCAUUGAAGAUCCUUGGUGUUUUCUGACCGGCUGCUCGGCGGUACUCGUACGGUAUUUAGCCGCUAAUUUAUUAGCGUCCAUGUCCGUCACAAGCGAGGCCAAUUUACUGAUAGUGCGGACCUAGUGCCGUCGUUGGUAUUGGCCAGCUGUUGGUUGUACGUGAUUCUGGGACUGGCUAAAAUUAAUUACCGGUCGGCGAUGCUACUGCUUUGGGUACUUUCAGG
rnacentral:rRNA from 1 species